rnacentral:rRNA from 1 species
GACGAACGCUGGCGGCGUGCUUAACACAUGCAAGUCGAACGGAAAGGCCCUGCUUUUGUGGGGUGCUCGAGUGGCGAACGGGUGAGUAACACGUGAGUUACCUGCCCUUGACUUUGGGAUAACUUCAGGAAACUGGGGCUAAUACCGGAUAGGAGCUCCUGCUGCAUGGUGGGGGUUGGAAAGUUUCGGCGGUUGGGGAUGGACUCGCGGCUUAUCAGCUUGUUGGUGGGGGAGUGGCUUACCAAGGCUUUGACGGGUAGCCGGCCUGAGAGGGUGACCGGCCACAUUGGGACUGAGAUACGGACCAGACUCCUACGGGAGGCAGCAGUGGGGAAUAUUGCACAAUGGGCGGAAGCCUGAUGCAGCAACGCCGCGUGCGGGAUGACGGCCUUCGGGUUGUAAACCGCUUUCGCCUGUGACGAAGCGUGAGUGACGGUAAUGGGUAAAGAAGCACCGGCUAACUACGUG